rnacentral:rRNA from 1 species
UACGAAGGGGGCUAGCGUUGCUCGGAAUCACUGGGCGUAAAGCGCACGUAGGCGGAUCCUUAAGUCGGGGGUGAAAUCCUGGAGCUCAACUCCAGAACUGCCUUCGAUACUGAGGAUCUCGAGUCCGGGAGAGGUGAGUGGAAUUCCUGGUGUAGCGGUGGAAUGCGCAGAUAUCAGGAGGAACACCAAUAGCGAAGGCAGCUCGCUGGGACGGUACUGACGCUGAGGCGCGAAAGCGUGGGGAGCGAACAGG